rnacentral:rRNA from 1 species
GUGAAGGUGUCGGGUUAAGUCCCAUAACGAGCGCAACCCCUACCUUUAGUUGCCAUCAGGUAAUGCUGGGGACUCUAAAGGAACUGCCUACGCAAGUAGUGAGGAAGGCGGGGAUGACGUCAAAUCAGCACGGCCCUUACGUCCAGGGCUACACACGUGCUACAAUGGCCGAUACAGAGGGCAGCUACCUGGUGACAGGAUGCAAAUCUCCAAAGUCGGUCUCAGUUCGGAUCGGAGUCUGCAACCCGACUCCGUGAAGUUGGAUUCGCUAGUAAUCGCGCAUCAGCCAUGGCGCGGUGAAUACGUUCCCGGGCCUU